UACGGAGGUGGCGAGCGUUGUUCGGAAUCACUGGGCGUAAAGGGCGCGUAGGCGGGCGGAGAAGUCGCGUGUGAAAGCCCCGGGCUCAACUCGGGAACGGCGCGCGAGACUCUCCGUCUUGAGUCCCGGAGAGGCGGGUGGAAUUCCUGGUGUAGCGGUGAAAUGUGUAGAGAUCAGGAGGAACACCGGUGGCGAAGGCGGCCCGCUGGACGGAGACUGACGCUGAGGCGCGAAAGCGUGGGGAGCAAACGGGAUUAGAAACCCCCGUAGUCC
rnacentral:rRNA from 1 species